rnacentral:rRNA from 1 species
AUGGUUUCUGAUGCACCUGCAUUUAGGACCACCGUCGUGCUGGCCGCCGUCUUGGCAGUGCUCGUCCUAGCACCGCCAUCCUUAGCAUGCGAGGAGGGGGCUCCGGCUCCGGCUCCGGCACUGGCUCCGGCCCCAGCUCCGGCACCCGUGAUGCUGUGCGGGGAUUGCGAGUCGCGGUGUCAGGCGAGGUCGACGUGCGAAGCCUACGUUGCCGCGGCAGGAUGCGGGAAUGAGUGCGACACCAGCUAUACGCCGGAGUGCGAGCCCUGCAAAUCCAGGGCCAUGCAGUCGUGCACGACCGGCUGCAACAGCUACUGCCUCACCAACUGCCAAGGCAGCCAGUGCGACAACUGCGCCACAUCAUGCGGCGGGCACUGCACCCAAGAAGCCGUGAACGCGUGCCGGAGCAGAUGCACCUACUCCUACUACCAGGUCAAAUCAUGCAAGGAAUGCCAGUCCGAUGCCGCCAGGAGGUGCAUCUACGCCUGCAACACCCAAUGCAAGGCCAACUGCGUCGUCAGCGGCUGA